rnacentral:rRNA from 1 species
AAUGAACGCUGGCGGCAUGCCUAACACAUGCAAGUCGAACGAAGGCUUCGGCCUUAGUGGCGCACGGGUGUGUAACGCGUGGGAAUCUGCCCUUGGGUUCGGAAUAACAGUUAGAAAUGACUGCUAAUACCGGAUGAUGUCGUAAGACCAAAGAUUUAUCGCCCAAGGAUGAGCCCGCGUAGGAUUAGCUAGUUGGUGGGGUAAAGGCCUACCAAGGCGACGAUCCUUAGCUGGUCUGAGAGGAUGAUCAGCCACACUGGGACUGAGACACGGCCCAGACUCCUACGGGAGGCAGCAGUGGGGAAUAGUGGACAAUGGGCGAAAGCCUGAUCCAGCAAUGCCGCGUGAGUGAUGAAGGCCUUAGGGUUGUAAAGCUCUUUUACCCGGGAUGAUAAUGACAGUACCGGGAGAAUAAGCUCCGGCUAACUUCGUG